AGAGCUCUAAUUUGCUUGGACAACUUGACAGCCUAUUUGAGAAGAAUUGAAAGAAAUAGAUUUUUAUGUCCUAAAAUGUCCUAAGCACCCAAACAAGAGAAAAAUGUACCAUGCUUCCGCAGACAUUAAAUCUCUGUUAAGGAUGAAGAGUGAACUGCAGAGCUGGUGUCACAUCAGAAGAGCAUGAAGGCAAACACAGACUCAAGCAUCCUUGUCUCUGGGCUCUGCCGCAGUUCUGCAAGUCGUAGCUGUUCUGCUGCUUGUGCUCAGCUGCUCCUCACAGAGGUAUGGUCUCAGUCACCCAUUUCCUGACUGACCAGAAAACAGAGAAAUCUCUCAGAAGAAAUAUUUUCUAAUGUAUUUCCAGUAAAGAUGAAGUGCUUUGGCCAGUGCCUGUAGUCUGAUCUAGGCCAAUGACUUUAAUUCUUGGAAAAAGCAGGAAAAGAAGAGAGGCUGAAUCCAUUGAGACAAACUUUAUAGCUGCAUACUUAUUUUUCCUAUUCUCCAUAAUAGCUUUCAAUCACUUUUUUUUUGUGUCAAAACUUUUUGCUUUUACAGAUUUAUUGAAAACUUCAUUAUUGACUGCAGUGUUCUGCCAUUAGUUCUUCAAAAUUGCACGUAGUUCAGACCCUAUUCAUUGCUUCAUACCAUUACAGCAUGUAUGUGGGUGUAUUUCUCAAUCUGGGUCUAAGAAUACCAGGAACCAUUUGCUUAUUGCUUAAGAUAAUAUUCAAAUAUGAAGGUUUUUUUGUAUAGCAUUUGCAAUUGUUUUUCUCAGAAAUGUUCACUAACAGUUUUCAUCCUUUCACCUGAAAUUAUUUAUGGGCUGCUAUCCAGCUAUCCAGAGGUCCUUUUACCUCCAAAAAUACCCUGCUUGUGCCAUUUAUCAGUUGAAUGGUUGAUGUCUCCAGUGACCAUAGUGUCAGGCAUAUAGUUUCUUCAGUGACUUUGACUUAAAACCAUUCCAUACAUCUUCAUGUCUGAUAUAACUCAGCAUAGGAGUAAAAUUAGAAAAAUACAUUAAUAGUGAUGCGUAUUUGGAUAUUGAGAGUAGAAAGAAAUAAUGGAAGAAAUGUAACGCCUUCUGCAUUAUGAAACAUGUUUGUUGCUCAUAAGUCAUUGAAUUUGUGUUGAGAUUUCAAUCUUUCCUAAUCACAGGAAGGAGUGGGCUCUCCAAGUCCAAGACAGAACAAUGAUGCUCCUUUUAGCUCAAACUUUUACCAAAUAUCAUAUAAAAUAAUAGCUGUAUAGCAGUCUCAAUUCACAUUUUAAGGAUUCCUGUCUUAGAAUGAAACAUCUCUUGGAAUAUAUAGAAAAUACAAUUGUUAUUAUUAUUAUUAAAUCAAGAUUUAAAUCUCUAUUAAGUCAUGCUUGAUCAGCCUGAUAAGCUUCUAUGAUGACAUGACCAGCCUAAUGUAUGAGAGGAAACCAAUGGUUGUUGUCUUCCUAAAUGGUAAAUCCUAAAGUCUUCCUAAAAGACAAUAUUUUAGACUGUUUUUUUUCCCUACUGGUUGUCUGCAUUUUUUUCAUACAGACCAGUACACAGAUUUGCAUGGAAUAUUCUCAGCAGGGUUUCAGCCACGCCAUGCACGGUGUCAUUAAAACUACUCAGUCUCUGAAGGAAGUACACAGCAUCUGGAAAUCCUACCACUAUCUUUCAUUUUUGAUAGGUGCACCAUAACAACAGGUCAAAGUCAGUCUGGCUGAAUUAGCUGAUCACAGAAUUCUUUUUAUUUUAGUGCAAAGAAGAGAUGAGCAGCAACAGCCAGUGAGCUAGUUUGUGUUACCUGUAUUAUGCGCAUACAGCAUGCAUUCAGCUCUUCUCCUAGAUAUACCACUUCAGCAUUGCAAAAAGCACUUAAAAACCUGAGGAUCACUGCAACCUACAUGUAGUAUAUAUAUACACACUGUACAUUAUAUAUAUGUAUAUUAUGUAUGUAUACAGUACAAACUGUUAUUGUUAGACCCAAAAACUAAUUAGUCAUUGCUUCCCGAAGCGUUAUGUGAAAAGUCUCUAGAAAUAAUGGGCUGCAUUUUCAAAUUUUAUAGGUUUACUGAGUCUAGUGUUCUCUGGUAUUUCCUGCUGCCCUUACAAGGGAAGACUGAAUCAAGUUUACAAGUCAUUUUGAAUAACACACAACCUUUCAAUGAAGUCAAUAAUUUGUAGAUUUAUAAACUCUACCCAUGAGAAAAAGACAAGGGUAGAAAGUAAAGGGAAUAGCAAGACCUUUUGCUGUUGUUUUUAAAACUAAAAUACCAAGUAUCUUAAACCUCCCAGCACAAUAUGAUUUUCUAUGUCUGUGAGGUUAGGUGAUGCACUUCUAUUUUUACGGUGAAUAUAUCUGAGUUUGACAGCAGCAAAGGAUAAGGAUUCCAAUUGAAAAUAAAUAUAUAUUUAAAUAUACGUAAGUCUAAAAUACUAUUUUUAAAUGUUAAUGCACACAUAUAGCAUUUGAAGGUUGCUAAUAAUGUGGACAGCUUUCUG
rnacentral:lncRNA from 1 species